rnacentral:rRNA from 1 species
AACGAACGCUGGCGGCAGGCCUCAAACAUGCAAGUCUAGGGGGUGUAGCAAUACAUCACCGGCGGACGGGUGCGUAACGCGUGGGAAUAUACCUAUCGAUUCGGAACAACUGAGGGAAACUUCAGCUAAUACCGAAUACGUCCUAACGGAGAAAGAUUUAUCGUCGAUAGAUUAGCCCGCGUUCGAUUAGCUAGUUGGUGGGGUAACGGCCACCAAGGCGACGAUCGAUAGCUGUUCUGAGAGGAAGAUCAGCCACACUGGGACUGAGACACGGCCCAGACUCCUACGGGAGGCAGCAGUUGGGAAUCUUGGACAAUGGGGGAAACCCUGAUCCAGCCAUGCCGCGUGAGUGAUGAAGGCCUUCGGGUUGUAAAACGUACUUUCGUCGCACGACGA